rnacentral:lncRNA from 1 species
UCUUAUAGUACGAUACAUGUGAAACUAGAUCUUCUUUAAAUACAUUUCAGUUAAAUUUUACUGAAAAAAUUCCUUGCAGAUCCCUCCCAUGCUAAAGAAGAUGAAAUAGGUACUUCAGUAUUUCACACACAAAUUAAUCCAGAAGAUUAUGAUUGCUCUAAAACCCAACCUAAUCAUGAUUAUCCAAGUGAAUUAGAAACAAAUGAAUUUCCUAAUCAAACAGAAAAAACAUAUAGCAAGAGUAAAAAUCAGGAUUUCAUUAAAAAGAACAUUGAGCUAGCAAAGGAUUCAGGAAACCAAAUUGUUAUGCUUGAGGGAGAAAGGAAAAGGCUAAUUGAACUAUUGAAAGAUACAGAAGAUGGAAUUGAAUUGCAAAGUCUUGAGGAGGAUGUAUCUGGCUGGCUAGCACCAGGAGAAGCAUACACACCUGAACCAAUGGAAUAUCAUCACCUAAAGGAGAUAGACAUUAAGCUUCAAAUACUACGAUCUGAUGGAGGUUUUUCUGUGAUUUCCAGUUCUUGCUCAAAAUCUCCAAGACAGGUUUAUCAGGUAUAUUACAGAACAGAGCUCAUGCUGCAGAUUUCUUGUUUGAAGUGUGUGUUGAGAUCUGAUGUAAAUGAAAAUACAGCAUGGGUCUGUGUUGUUUUUUGUUUUUUGUUUUUUUUUUUUUUUCUUUUUUUUCUUUAGUAUCUUCUAUUUGUUAUCAAAGUGUAUGUGUUAAAGAAUGAAGUGAAAUCUUUGGCUAUAGAAAUAAUAUGGAAAAAU